rnacentral:lncRNA from 1 species
CGACUGAGCGGCCUACAAGGGAGUUGAUGGAGAAACCACCCGUGGGUCGAACAGAGCCACUGAUCACAAACAUCAUGUGGAGGAACCUACUAGCUCAAGCUUUAUACCAGAUAGCAGUGCUUCUUGCCCUGCAAUUCAGCGGUGAAUCAAUCUUUGGCGUAACAGAGAAGGUCAAUGAUACCUUGAUCUUCAACACUUUUGUUCUGUGCCAAGUCUUCAACGAAUUUAACGCAAGGAAGCUAGAAAAGAAGAACGUAUUUGAGGGGAUACACAAGAACAAGUUGUUUAUGGGAAUCAUUGCCACAACCAUUCUUCUUCAAGUAGUUAUGGUAGAAUUUCUGAAACGGUUUGCUGAUACAGAGAGGUUGAAUUGGGGCCAAUGGGGUGCCUGCAUCGCAAUUGCAGCUAUGUCUUGGCCCAUUGGCUGGGCUGUCAAGUUCAUACCUGUUCCACAGAAACCCAUUUUCAGCUUUAUGAAAUGGAGGAAGUAGGACACCAUAAUUCAGAAUUGCCGCUCAUUGUUGUUAUUUUAUUAUUUGUAGACACCAUUUUAUUAAUUAAUUAAUUUUUUCUUUUUUUUUUUUUUUCUUUUUUUUUUCUCCUUUUGACAACCUUUCUAUUGACCGCCGGCAGUCGCACUGCCAACGGCACUGACAGCCGCCUGCAGUUGCCAGCCGCUCUGACAACUACCGACAGCUGUUCUGACAGCUAAUAGCUAUCCUAAUCAUAGGCAAUCAAAAUCCCAAAAAAUAUGAGAUUUUGAUCUUAUUUUGCUUUAUAAAUAAAGCUGCUUGCAAAAGGAAAAGCCCAGAAACCCUACAAAAAAAAAAACAAAAACAAAAAACACAAAAAAUAGAUUAAAAAAACACACUACCAUAUUCUAAAAAAUCUCCGUGAAAAAAAAAAAGAGAAAUCAAACACAAAAAAAAAAAAGACAAUCUCUAGAACGAGAUCUCAACGCCAAAACAAAAAUAAAAAAUAAAAAAUCCUUUGGCCGAAUCUUACAGGCCAGAUCGACAUAGUUUAAGGUCUUUUUUUUUUUGUAAAACUAAGCUCAGAUUCGUGUUUAGGGGGGUGAAGAGAAGAUUCUUGGAGAUUUUGGAUUUUUUCGAUGAUCAAUAGAUGGCAGCCUACGACCAUCAAUUGAGGCCGACGUGUCGGAGCAGUCACUAGAUUCUAGAUUGCUAGAGAGAGAAAGGGGAAGAAGAAAACAAAAAAAAAAUAGCUGAUUUGGCCUUUAAAUAAGCCUUCAAAACGACGCUGUUUAGGAAAGUAGCAAAACGAUGCCGUUUUGAUCCUAGAGGAUCCGCACGUCGACUCGCAACUCAACCCGGGAUUCGCGCACCCAACUCGACGAUCGAUUCUCCCUUUGCCUUUACCGGUUCAGUUGAACUGGCCCAGAUCGACGUCGAACCGCUGAACCCGAACCAAUUGAAUCAGACCGGAUUGAACUGCUAAAUCGGCCCAGACCCACGUUGACAGACUGUUGACCGGUUCGAUUCAGGUAUUUUUUUUUAAAUUAUUUGAAUUUUUUUAUAUAUAGUAUUAUAAAUUUUAUUAUUAAUAUUCAUGUAUAUUAAAAUAUUUAUAACUGUUAGAAUAAAUUUUUGUUGAAAUAAAUGAUAAAGUAUAUAAUAAAGUUUUUUUUUUAUAAUUUUGUGCAUUUUAGAAUAAACCUUAUAAAUUAAUAAAAAAAUGUAAGGAAAAAAGAAAAUUUUUAUCCGAUGAUGAGAUUUAAAGGUAUUUUGAGUAAUGAUACCUACGAAAUCUCUAGGUGAUAAGAUUUUUUUUAAAUACUACCAGUGUAUUGGAGUAUUUAUAAAAAAUUUUCGAUACAAUAAAUUUUUUUUAUAUAUAAAAACUAGUAAAAUAAAAUUAACUUUUAUAAAAAAAACUAAAAUAAAGUGAUAAAAAAAAGAGAAAAAGGAAAUUUUAUCUAAUGAUGAGAUUCUAAAGGUAUUCCGAGUAGCGAUACUUUACAAAAUUUUUAGGUGAGAAGAUUUUUUUAAAAAUAUUAUCAGUGUAUUGAAAUAUUUAUAGAAAAACUUCAAUAUAAUAAAAAUUUCUUUUUUUUUCUUCAAAUUUAAAUUAAAAAUAAAAAAUAAAAUAAAACAAUUAAUAAAAUUCUAAAAAAGGAGAAUUAAAUGUGUGCAUCAACAUGGUAAAAUUUUGCAUUGCAUACAUGACAUAGUUUUUUUUACGAAAAAUAAAUUUGAGCAUCCAAGGAUGAGAUUCUAAGGUAUUCCGAGAAGUGAUGCCUAAGAAAUCUAAAUGAGAAAAGGUUCUUCUAAUGUUACCAACGUACUGGAACAUUUUAAAAAUUAUUUUGAUAAAAGGGUUCUAAUUUAUUUUUCUCGAAUAAAAUUUAAGCAAAAAAAAAUUCUAAUAAAUGAAAAACUACGAAAAUUAUUUAAAAAAUCAUUUUUCAAACACAGAAAAUAAUACUGUUUUUAUCAAAAUCAACAGAUAACAUGUAAUUAAUUGGUACCGUUUUAAACGGGUGUUGUGGACGUGCUAAUCCUUUCCUAUGCAUAAUCGACUUCCGAACCCAAACUAUUUCCUAGACCAUAAAAUUAUCUAUUUAAUAAAUUUUAAUAAAUUUAAAAUUUUGUUAAAAUGAUAUGUUUUAAUAGGUGGUCAAUCACACCUAGCCAAAAAAGAUUGGUGGCGACUCUCUUUUCAUUUUUUUUCAAAUUUGUCGGGUAGACACAAAAAUCGUUACGACAGUUUGGCGACUCCACUGGUUGAUGCCAUUUGUUUUUUAGAUUCAAGCCAAAAUUAACUACAUGUUAUCCUUAAAUUUUGAUUUAAACAGUCCUAAUCGGUUUCUUAGAUUUUAUUUUUUACUUUCAACAAAAAAGUAAAAAAAAAACAAAUUGAAAACAAAAAGAAAAAAUUCACACACGUUUCUUUUACUAUGCCUUUUAUGCUUUAUUUUUCUGUAUAUAUUACUCUCAACAAAUUAGGAUAUAUUUGUACACACAAUAACAUGAUGCAUCCCAUAAAUGAGCUUUAUACCUGGGCUCCGUCCCUUAUAGGAGGAAGUAUAGUACCUAUGCUCUCGUGAGGUGAUAACUUUCGCAAUGGCAAGCGAAAUACUUUCACUCAAAUUGAACCAUUUAUGUUCGUAGCCUAUAAUGGGUGAGGAUCGGAUUGCCUUACUAGUCCAAUGUGGACGACAGUGAAGAACAAUUUGAGAACUUUUAGAUACGUGUUAAUCCAAACUCAGCAUGUAAUAAGCCUAGAAAAUCAGUGUUAGGUAGAGCCUCGUCCACCUUUUUAUAGGAAAUACCUAUGUCUAAUACAAAAUAAAAUAAAACAAAAAAAUCUCAAAACACAAAAAAAUAUUUUUUCUUAAACCACUUCCUCACACUAACUCAAUUUUGUUUUUUUUUUUUUUGCAUAAUCAUAUCAUACAGUUCUGCAUCAAGAUAUUUGCUCUAGGACGACUUUUUCUUAAAAAAUCUUUAUGGAUCCCAUAGAAUUAUAGAUUUACUCAUCCUCAGUCAGUGUCUCAUGUGAGCCGUAUAAUAAAGUACAUGUUUAGUCAAAAGAAGCCCAACAAAAGAGUGGAUAUUGCCUUCCUAUCGGUUAUAUGUCAGAGUUACCUGAAAAGGUACAUUUAGAUCUCACACAGAAUGAUUUAGAAGACUUAGCCGCUAUCUGGAGUCAGUUAAAUGAAGAAAGAAAAGAAAAUUUUUACAAGAAGUACAAGCAGAUUACAUCUUUUAUUUUGGUAGUGAUGAAUGAACAGUUGAUUAGGGUAGCUAUAUAAUUUUAGGAUCCAUCCAAUAGAUGUUUCACUUUUAAUCAGAAAGAUUUGGUGUCAACUAUCAAAGAAUAUUCGAUUUUGCUCGAGAUAACUAUAGUGUCCAGAUAAAGUAUUUACCUGAAAGCUAAAAUCAGGUUAUCGUAAAAAGUUGGCCAAGCUUAUGAGGGUUAAAGUGGAUACCAUUGAUUCCUUCGUGAAGCCUAAAGGUGAACAUCUCGACAUUCGUUGGGACUUUCUCUAAAACUUCAUUCAGGAGCAUUUAAAUGAUGAUCAAGGCGUGAUUGUAUUUGCUCUAUCAUUGUAUGGCAUGGUGUUCUUUUCGAAGACUUUGGGUUAUAUUGAGAUAAUUGUGGUAAACUUUUUUGAGCAAAUUGAAACCCAAGCAAUUAAUCCUACACCAGCAGUUCUAGCAGAAACCAUCCAAUCAUUAAAUUUCUAUUGAUGAAAUGGAAAAAGAUUGUUCAUAGGAUGUGCACCGUUAUUAUAUGUAUGAGUUAGAAGUUAUUUCAAGUACGAAAAAAAUGUAUUCUCAAAGUCAUAUCUAUGAAAAAAAACACUAAUUAAAGUGUUCUGUAAAAGCUAAUGGCCAACAUUGAAGACUAAGAAAGAGUGGGUCUUUUUCUUACGAAAGCUUAUCGAUGAUAAAAUUGAAUGGAUGGUGUCUUGGAUGCCUCGUGUGCCUUUGUUGUAUUGUGGAGGAAAUGAGCCGUGGAUACCACUGUUAGGAUUAUGGGGUGUUAUGAGUUACGCUCCAUUGAUGGUGCUUAGGCAAUUUGGUGCAAAACAGUUUAUUCUUGUCACUCAUAGUUUGGUUCAAGUAGAAUUCAUUUACAAGGAACUAAAUUCACUAAGAACCUCGGAGUAGUUAAUCCAAGCAUGAAAGAAAAUGUGAAGAAUAAGAUUAGGGCUUUUCAUCAACAAAGUCACUCUUGAUUACCAUAUUUGAAAAGCAAGAUGGCCUAGAGACAUAGUACUUUCUCCUGAUGAUAGCUCACACUAAUCGACUAAUCUUUCGACAGAAAUGCGACUAUCAGAAGUCGAGCUUGUUAAGAAAGAAUUAGAAGCUAAAAAAGAAGAAAUAAAAAGAGAAAAUUUGAGACUUCAUGAGAAUAUGGGACAGUUGAAAUAUAAAGUAAAAAUAUAAGAGAACAGAUUGGAAAAGAUCAUAAAAGAACGAGAUGUACCCAAUAAUGAUUUGAAAGAUUUACACCAAAAAAAUAAAAUGUUACGAGUCCAAUUCAAGACUAGAAAGGUCACUAAGUUUACCUUAGUCGACAAUGCAAAAUGGAUGAGCUUAAAAAAAAAAAAUGAACCAAUAGAAAGGUAAAGCUCAAGAAAAACAAGAGGAAGCCACCAAAAUUUUUUAAAAAUGUCAGAAUUGGAAAGGGUUAUAUACUGUGACUUCAGCAAGAUUGGUGGAAUGUCAAAAGAAAAAAGAAAGGUUGAAGGCUACAGUCACAAAAGAGAGAAGAAAGCACCUAGAAGUACUGAAUGAGAAAAAAUUACUUCACUGGGUGAUCCAAAGGUUAGAGCUACAAUACAAGACAUAAGAAUCGUAUUUCAGCAAUAAUAAAUGAGUGGCAGGGAAGGGAAAAAUAUUCGAUCUUCACAUGUGAUUAAAAAAAAAAUGCUCGUAUGAGGUGAAAGGUAAAAAGCUUAGAAAGGCAAUAGUACAUAGAAUAUCUGACUAAUCAAGUUUGUAAGGCAGUAAAAAAAGUAUGAAAAGUGGUUAAAAAGGUAGAAGCAUUAAGACAAGAAGUCAAUCCAAUAGGAGAAUACAGACAGCUCCUAGUAAACUUUCUAGACGAGGUGAAAGACCAUUAUGAGCAAGUCAAACACUUUUAUGGAUAUAUUCUAGUAUGAUAAAUCCCAUGUAAUCAAAGCUGAAUGGAAUCAAUGAAAAUUUCUAGUGUUGAAAUUUAUCCAAGUGCAAAUAUUUUUCACUUGCAUUCAUGCAUCAUUUGCAUCAUUUUUGUUUUCUUUCAAAAAAAUUUUAAAAAAUAAAAUUUUUCUACACAUGGCAUUCUAAUUUUUUAAAAUUAUAGUAAUAAAGGUUUAAGAAUAUUCCAAUCCUUAUCCAAAGUGUAAAUUCCUACUCUCGAUGGAUAUUCUAAUCCUUAUCCAGGAAUGACAUCCACACCUACUCUAAGACAAUUCUAAAAUUUUGUUAAUCAUGUUAUGAUGGAAAAACUAGCUGAGCCAAUCUUAGUUCCUAAUUUGGAUGAUCCCAAAGAAAGAGAAAACUAUGAAUAAAUAUACCUUAGAAAAUGGAAGACACUAGUGCCCAGGAAAAGAUAAAGCUAUUGAAAGAAAGGCUUAGGACAGUAAAAAGAAUAAAUUUUUAUGGCUCUAUAGAUGCAACCGAGCUUUGUUUGAUCCCUGACGUGGUAAUUUCACCUAAAUUUAAGGUUUCUAAAUUUAAAAAAUAUGAUGGCAUGAAAUGCCUGAUGACCCAUAUCACCAUGUACUGUCAAAAAAUAGCAGUACAUGCUCAUGAUGAAAAGUAAUUAAUGCAUAUAUUUUUAAGGUAGUCUUACGGAUUCUGCAGCUAGAUGGUAUGUUCAAUUAGAUAGGACUUGUAUUCAUUUCUAGUAAAAGCUCUCAAGGGUAUUUCUUACACAAUAUCAGCACGUUAUAGAUCUAGCUCCGGAUCGCCUAUCUUUGCAGAGUAUGAAAAAAAAUAACAAAAACUUUCAAAGAGUAUGCACAAAAAUGGAGAGAUGUGACUGCACAAGUCUAAUCUCAUCUCACUGAAAAAGAGACAAUUAUCUUAUUUGUGAAUACCUUGAAAGUACCAUAUUAUGAAAGACUGAUAGGUAAUGCAAUCAAAAAUUUUACAGAUAUAGUAAUAUUAGGUGAAAUCAUUAAAAAUAUCAUAAAAAAUGGUAAGCUUGAUGCAUGAAAGACAAGUGGAGCAAAAAAAGGUACAGUGCCCAAAAAGAAAAAAAAUGAAGCCCAAGCGAUAAACUAUGUGAGGUAACAGUUUAGAGGUCUCACACCCUACCCUGCACCAGUCUACCAAACCCAUUGCCUUUCCGUAAACAAUGUUACAUCUAUCCCUCAUUCAUAUUAACCAUACCAGCCACUACAACCACCAACUUAUCCACCCCAUUUUCAGUCAUCCUUUCGGACACCCACCUACAAUCAUCCUAUUACAUCCAUCAGAUCAGAAUGGAGGUUUAAUCUUUAUAGUGGUUCGAGAGCCCCAAGAACUACCCAAGAAAAAAUCAUUUUCGAUCCUAUACCUAUGACAUACACGGAUUUGUAACCUCAACUUGUCAAAAAAUAUUUACUAGCCCCUGUUAUUGUUGAGCCUUUGAAACCUCCGUUUCUUAAAUGGUAUGACCUUAAUGUACAUUGUGAUUAUCAUUAUGGAAAUUCAGGCCAUUCUACUAAGAACUGUACUGCCUUGAAAUGCAAAGUGCAAGGAUUAAUCAAUGAAGGGGUGUUAAAUUUUGAGACCAGCCAAUGAAGAACUUCAAAUGUUAAUGGGAACCCUUUACCAAAUCAUACUAGACCAUCAAUAAAUGCUUUAAUUGAUUAGUAAGCAAGCUAUGUGAAGAAAGGGAUAGAGAAAGUUAAAACUCUAAUGGCUAAGAUGUUUGAAGCCUUAGAUAAAACAGAUAUGUUAAAAUCAAUAGAGUUUCAUGAUCACUCCAUAACGAUCAAUUCAAUUGAGAAGUGUAACUACCACAAAGGUGCUUUGGGGCACUCUAUCGAGUAUUAUGGCCAAUUCCAUCAAAAAAUGCAAAAAAUGAUAGAUAUGGAUCAGAUAAAGUUUUUUGAAAAAAAAAAGUUGAUGAAAGCUAAACUGUCUACCAUUAUUCAAAGAAUAAGUUUGUGCGUAGAUUGAUAACUAUUUAUUAUGAUGAGAAGCUGAUACUGAAGCUACAAAAGCUCGUCUUUUGAUCAAUAGUGACAAUUAAAAUUUUUGACCCUUUUCUAUAUUAGAAUGAUAAAGUAAUAUCAUGAAAAUAUGAUUGUGAUGUUGUAGUUAACCUAGAUACUACGAACAUAAUGGACGUAAGAGGUAUGACUUGAAGUGGGAAGUGUUAUACCCCAAAAACUUUAGAAAAGCUAAAAUGAAAAAAGUAAAGGUAGGAAAAAAAAAGAAAAGUCAGAGUAAUCCUGUUGCAGCCUCAGAAAAAGAAUGUCAGAAGUCGAUCUUUGAGCGUGAAGCUUGUGAAUUCUUAAAGCUAAUAAAACAUAGUGAGUAUAACGUGGUAGAACAACUGAACAAGAUGCCAGCUAAGAUUUCGCUAUUAUCAUUAUUGCUCAGUUCAGAGUCGUAUCGUAAUGCUUUACUAAAGGUGCUAAAUCAAGCAUAUGUGCCUCACAAUGCUUUUGUUAAAUAUGUGGAACAACUUGUUGGCAAUCUGACAAUUCUAAACUAUAUUUCUUUUAGUGAUAGAAGUACCAAGGUUCUCCAUAUUAUUGUUAAAUGUAAAAGUCAUAAUGGCUAAGAUUUUGAUUGAUAAUGGCUCAUUCAUCAAUGUUAUGCAUGUGACUACUCUGAUAAAACUCUCUGUUAAUGGAUCUUAUAUGAAGCCUAGUCAUAUGAUAGUGAGAGCCUUUGAUGGAACUCGAAGAGAAGUGCUGAGAGACUAUAAAUACCAUUACAGAUUAGCCUGUGCACUUUUAAUGUGAAAUUUCAAGUUAUAGACAUCUUUCCUUCAUAUAAUUGCUUAUUAGGUAGGCCGUUAAUCCAUAUAACAGGUGUUGUUCCAUCUUUAUUACAUCAGAAAGUCAAAUUCAUUGUUGAAAAAAAGCUAACAUGUGUGACAGAAGAAAAAAGAUUUAUUGGUAACUCAAUCGAUAAAUACUCCUUAUGUGAAAUUAGCAGAUGAAGUACUAUAAUGCUUUUAUAAAUUUUUUGAGAUUGUCAAUGCAACAUAUGUACUGAAGGAUCUAAAUUGUAUUCGUCACACUUGUUUACGAAAACUAAAAUGGUAGUCAAACAGCUUACCAAGAUGGGAUAGUGACCUAAAGUCAAACUUGGGAAGAAUCUGUAAGGAAUCACAAAGUCAUCGGCCAUAUAUGAAAAGAGAGAUAGAUUCAACUUGGGAUAUAAGCCAACAAAAAAGGACAGAAUGAAAAUGGUGAAUGAGAAAAAAGAUAAAAUGAUAGCUAAUCUUGAGAGAUAUGAGCUGAAGUCAGAGCCUAUGGUCAUUCCAUACCUUUAUGAUUCUUUUCGUUCUGGAGGAUAUAUUUACUCAGAUUUGCCUGGAGCCCUAAGUGCAGGAUUCGUGAAAAAAUUUUCAAAGAUGGCCAUUCAAAUGGUGGGUGAUGGAGAAAAGAAGAGUCAAAGUGAAGAGCUAUUCGUAUAUCUUUGUCCUUCAGAUUUUGAGCUAGAUAAUUGAAAAGUUAUAGAGCUGCCUGUUAUCUUUAAAACUUUGAAAAAGUAAUGUAUUGUGGAAUUUUAAAUCCCUAAUUGCUUUCUAUGAGCAUUAAUCUCUAAUUGCUUUCUAUGAGCAUUAAUCUCUAAUUGCUUUCUAUGAGCAUUAGGAGAUCUUUUGUGACGUGUUUAUGUUUGUCAUUUUAAUAAAAGGCUUAAAAGAUGCAUCCAUAUUUCUUCUAUCUGUUUCACUUUCACUCAUUCAAAUCAUUUCCUUUUUUCUUAUCAUUUCAUUUUUUGUGCCAAUGUUCUAUUCAUUUUACCCUUUGUAAGGUCCCAAAUAAUGAACACGAAGAUAAUCAUGACAAUAAUCUCAUAUUUGAUUUUAAAAACUUAAUUCAUGUUGACGAACUUGAUAAUAAAAAAGAUUCAGAUAGUUACACACUACCUCUUAAUUUGUUAAAAUUAAUAAAACAUGAAAAUAAGCCAAUAAAGGCCUAUCAAAAAAUUACUGAAUUAGUAAAUUUGAAAGAUAAUGAAAAUAAAAGAGAAGUUAAAGUUGGUACAUCCCUUUUACCAAUUAAAAGACAGAAGCUAGAAGAGCUGUUCUGAGAAUAUGUGGAUGUUUUCGUGUGAUCUUAUCAAGAUAUGCCACUAUUCAGCAUUGAUAUUAUAGAACACAAGUUACCUUUGAAACCUGAAUGUAAGCCAGUACACAAAAGCUAAGGCACAUGAAGCCAGAGAUGCUAUUGAAAAUUAAAGAGAAAGUAAAAAAGUAAAUUGAUGCUGGAUUUUUAGAGGUGAUAAAAUAUCCUGAAUAAGUAGCUAACAUAGUGUCAAUUUCCAAGAUGGAUGAAAAGGUGAGAAUGCGUGUCAAUUAUUGAGACCUGAAUAGGGUGAGUCCCAAAGAUAAUUUUUUUCUACCCCAUAUCGAUACCCUAGUAGAUAAUACUGUUAGGCAUUUCAUAUUUUCUUUUAUGGAUGGCUUCUCUGGUUACAAUCACAUUAAGAUGGCUUGAUAUGAUACAGAGAAAAUAACAUUUGUGAUCAUGUGGAGGAUGUUCUAUUAUAAAGUCAUGCCUUUUAGGUUAAAAAAUGCUGGUGCCAUUUAUCAAAGAGCAAUGGUGACUUCUUUUUUAUGACAUGAUGCAUAAAGAGAUAGGAGUGUAUGUGGAUGAUAUGAUAGCAAAAUCUCAUGAAGUAAAAGAUCGUGUAGUCAAUCUCAAAAAUUUGUUUGAUAGGUUAAGAAGAUUUCAGCAAAAAUUGAAUCCUGUUAAAUGUACAUUCAAUACUAAACCAAGAAAAUUAUUGCACUUUAUGGUCAGUGAAAGAGGAAUCAAAGUUGAUCUAGAUAAAAUACAGGCUAUUCAAAAUUUAUCCCCUCCUCAUACCCUGAAAGAGGUGCGAGGCUUUAUGAGAAGAUUGAACUAUAUUGCUCGUUUCAUCUCUCAACUCAUUUAUAAGUGUGAUCCCAUUUUCAAGCUUCUUAGAAAACAUGAUCUAGGAGAAAGGAAUGAUGAAUGCCAAGAAGCUUUUGACAAAAUCAAAGAAUACUUGUCAAAUCCACUUGUGUUGGUACUACCAAUCCCGAAAAAACCUUUGAUUUUAUACUUAAUAGUGCAUAAAAUUCAAUGGGAUGUGUACUGGGGUAAAAAGAUGAAACUAACAGGAAAGAACGAGUAAUUUACUAUUUGAGUAAGAAAUUCACUGAUUGCAAGUCCAAGUAUUCUCUAUUAGAGAAGAUGUAUUAUACAUUAGCUUGGACAGCUUGAAGGUUUUGACAAUACAUGCUUUAUCACACUACUUGGCUCAUAGCAAAGUUAGAUCUUAUUAAAUAUAUUUUUUAGAAGCCUUCAUUAACAGGAAGAAUAGCACAAUGGCAAGUUAUGCUUUCAAAAUAUGAUAUCAUUUAUACGACUCAAAAGACUAUAAAAAAAAGUGAAGUAACCGAGUUUCUUACUGAUCGUGUUGUCAAAAAUUAUGAACCAAUGAACUUGGAUUUUUCUGAUGAAGAUGUGAUGUCCAUUGAAGAAAAUGAACCUAUUGAAGAGUCUUUAAGGAUGUAUUUUGAUGGUGCUGCUAAUGCUUUGGGUCAUGGUAUUGGGGUAAUUUUAAUAUCUCCUGAUGGGCACUAUUAUCCCAUCAUAGCUAGGUUAAAUUUUAAUUGCACAAAUAAUAUGGCCGAAUAUGAGGCCUAUAUUAUGGGUCUACAAGUAGCAAUUGAAAAGAUCAAAGUGUUAGAUGUAUUUGGAGAUUCAGCAUUAGUCAUUUAUUAGUCACAAGGUGAAUGAGAGACAAGAGAUUCCAAGUUGAUUCGAUACCAUAAAUACAUCUUUGAGUUGAUCAAACAAUUCAAAGAAAUUCAGUUUAAGCAUUUACCUAGAGAGAAAAACCAAAUUACUGAUGCACUGGCUACUCUAACUGUAAUGAUCAAAAUAGAUGCAAAUACUGAGAUCCAACCCAUCAAGCUGGAUGUGAAGAUGUACCAGCACAUUACUCAGGUGUUGAAAAAAAGUUGAUAGGAGGCCAUGGUAUCAUGAUUUAUGCAAUAUAUUAAAAGUCAGCAACUAUUAUUUUUUUCCUGGAUAAAGAUGUCUUCUACAAAAGGGUCGAGAUCAAGUACUCUUAAGAUGUGUGAAUACAACUGAAACAAAGAGGAUUAUUGAAGAAGUGCAUGAUGGAGUUUGUAGGGCACAUAUAAAUGGUCAUAUGAUGGUUAGGCAAAUUAUGAGGGUCAGUUACUAUUGGUUGAUAAUGGAGAGUGACUGUAUUAAUUAUACCAAAAAAUAUCAUAAGUACCAGAUUUGUGUUAACAAGAUCCACGCUUCUCCAAUAGCAUUACAUGUUUUAACUCCUCCGUGGGCUAUGGAUGUCAUUGAUCCCAUCACUCCAAAAACUUCAAAUAGACAUAAAUUCAUCUUUGUGAUGAUUAAUUACUUCACGAAGUGGGUAUAAGCUAAAUCGUAUGCUAGUGUAACCCGAUCUGUGGUAUGGAAGUUCAUAUAAAAGGAGAUAAUAUGCAAAUAUGGGCUCCUAGAGAUGAUUAUUUCUAAUAAUGUCAAAAACUUAAAUAGUAAAAUAAUGAAUAAAAUAUACACUCAAUUUAAAAUUCACCAUCGUAAUUUGACAUCAUAUCAUCCAAAGAUGAAUGGGGGCAGUGAAGGCUACAAACAAGAAUAUCAAAACAAUCUUGGAGAAAAUAACUGAUACUUACAAAUAUUGACAUUAAAAGUUACCUUUUGCUUUACAUACUUAUAGAACAUCGGUCCGAACAUCUACUAGGGCCAUCUUGGUCCAUUUGGUAUAUGGAAUGAAAGCUAUGCUACUGAUCAAAAUGGAAAUUUUCUCACUGAGAGUCUUGAUGGAGGUAGAGUUAGAGGAAGUAGAAUGGAUUCGAAAUCGUUAUGAGCAAUUGAACCUCAUUGAAGAAAAAAACCUUAUAGCACUUUGUCAUGAUCAAUUAUAUAAAAAAAGGAUGAUGUGAGCAUAUGAUAAAAAAAUUCAUCAUCGUCGCUUUAAGGAAUGAGACUUAGUGCUGAAAAGGAUCCUUCCAAAUCAACAUGACAAUCAAGAAAAAUGGACACCAAAUUAAAAAGGCCCGUACAUGGUGAAAAAUACCUUUUCUGGUAGGGCAUUGAUUUUGACAGAAACGGAUAAAGGUGAUUUACCUACUCCAAUAAAUUCAGAUGCUGUAAAGAAAUAUUUUACUUUUAAAAAAUGAAAAAAAAAAAAAGAAAAUGAUGACUUAUCUAAGCUGAAAAUCUAAAAAGACACUUGGAUGUGAAGGAGAAGCAUCAUCAAGAGAAGAUCCCAUAACACAGGGGCAAGUGUAGUUUGACAAACUCUGAAGAAUCAAGAAAAUCAUCUGAUUUAGUUUUUUAAAAAAAUCUAAAAAUAUUUUGUUCAUGAUUAUCUUGUGAUCAUUAUUUGAGCACCUUUAUUUCAACUCAAACACUUUGCCAUGUACUUAUUAUCAGUCUAAUGAAAUAUGCUAUCUUUCCUUUGAAAAUAACGUCUAUCCAUUCUUUUAUUCUCAUUUGAUAUUUUUGUUCACCAUACAAAUAAGAGAAAUGUGUGAUUGCAUUUUGUUUGUCUUGAACUUAAAAUGAUGAAAAGAAAAACAAACAUGAAAAAUCUCAGCAUUACUUUUUAAAAAUUGACAAAGGCAGAUGAAAAAGGAUAAGAAAAGUAAGACAAGCCAUUGAUGUUACAGACUUUUGAAGAAGAAAAGUAUUGUUAAGGAAGAAUACAAUGUUCAGAUGUUAAGAAUAGAUUAGUCAUAUGGCAAUUGUUGAGAAUUAUUUUUAAAAAAGUAAAAAAAAAAAAUUGGGAGAUUUUGAAAACUUUUUUACCAUAAUGAAUAAUUUUGAUUGCAUUGCAUGUAUUGCAUUUAAAGCACUCAGUAUAUACAUCCAUGAGCAGUUAUAAUAAGGACAGAGACUUUUCAUUUCCUAACAAAAAAAUAAGAUUUUGAUAUUUAGACAAGGAUAAUAAUUAAACAAAAGAUUUCAAGAGAAAGAAAUUUACUUGUUCAGAUAUGAGAACUUGAUUUCGAGAACAUAUGAGAUUUUUAAAGUUGUGAAGCCUUUGCUUAGGGGAACCUUUUUUAAGAUGAAUUUUUAAAGUUAUUGAGCCUCUACUGAGAGGAGCUUUUUCAAGAUAAAUUUUUAAAGUUAUUGAACCUCUACUGAGAUGAGCUUUUCCAAGAUGAAUUUUUAAAAUUGUUAAGCCUAUGCUUGAAGAGCUUUUUUCAAGAUGAAUUUUUAAAGUUGUUAAACCUCUACUGAGAAGAGAUUUUUUUAAGAUGAAUUUUUAAAAUUAUUGAGCCUCUACUGAGAAGAGAUUUUUCUAAGAUGAAUUUUUAAAGUUGUUGAGCCUCUGAUAAGAGGAACUUUUCAAAGAUAGAUUUUUAAAGUUAUUGAGCCUCUGCUAAGAAGAGCUUUUCCAAGAUAAAAUUUUAAAGUUGAUAAGCAUCUGCUUAUAUGAGCUUUUUUCAAGAUGAAUUUUUAAAGUUGUUGAGCUUCUACUGAGAAGAGCUUUUCCAAGAUAGAUUUUUAAAGUUAUUAAACCUCUAGAUUUUUAAAGUUGUUGAGCCUCUACCUAAAGGAGUUUUUUCAAGAUGAAUUUUUAAAGUUGUUGAGCCUCUGUUGAGAGGAGGUUUUUCAAGAUGGAUUUUUAAAUUUGUUGAGCUUCUACUUAGAAAAGCUUUUUCAUGAUGACUUUUUAAAGUUGUUGAACCUCUGUUUAGAGGAGCUUUUCCAAGAUGAUUUUUUUUUUUAAGUUGUGGAGCCUCUCUUAGAGAAGCUUUUCCCAAGAUGAUUUUUUUAAAGUUAUGAAACCUCUACUUAGAGGAACUUUUUCAAAAUGAUUUUUAAAAUCGUUGAGCCUCUGCUUAAAGGAGAUUUUUCUCAAGAUAAAUUUUUUAAAGUUGUUGAGUCUCUACUUAGAAGAACUUUUUCCAAGAUAAUUCUUUAAAAUUGUUGAGCAUAUGCUUAAAGGAGUUUUUUUAUAUUUUUAAAAGUAGUUGAGCCUCUACUUAUAUGAGCCUUUUUAAAUUUUCAAAAGUCAUUGAGCUUCUAUUGAGAAGAGCUUUUUUAAAUUUUUUUAAAAAAAAUCAAAUAAAAAAUUGAGUCUCUGAUUAGAUUAGCUUUUUUUUCUUUUUAGAUAAAAUAGUUAUAUGUUUGUCUUUGCCUUAUUUUCGACUCUCAGAAAUAGACAAAGAUGGGCAACUAUAGACACCAUUUUAUUAAUUAAUUAAUUUUUUUCUUUUUUUCUCUUUUUGGCAAUUUUUCUGUCAACCGCCAACAAUUGCCAACGGCUCUGACAGCUGCCUGUAGCUGCCAACCGCUCUGACAACCACCGAUAAUCGUUCUGACAGCUGGUGGCUACUUUAAUCACAGGCAAUCAAAAUCUUAAAAAAUAUGAUAUUUUGAUCUUUUUUUUGAUCUAUAAAUAGAGUUGCAAAAACACCUGCAAUACUAGAAUCCCAAAAACCUUGCAAAAAAAAACAUAAAAAAUAUAUAAAAAAAAACACACUGCCAGAUUCCAAAAAUUCUAUGUGAAAAAAAAAAAGAGAAAUCAAACACAAAAAAUCACAAUCCUUGGAACGAGAAUCUCAACACCAAAACAAAAAAUAAAAAAUCAUUUGGCCAACUCUUCCAGGCCAAAUCUAUGCAGUUCAAGGCCCAUUUUUGCAAAACUAAGCUCGGAUUCGCAUUUAGGGGGUGAAGAAAAGAUUUUUGGAGAUUUUAAAUUUUUUUGGCAUUCGACAGACGACGGUCGACUACCAUCGACGGCGAUCGAUGCAGUAGAAUAGUCAUCGAAUUCUAAAUUGUUAGAGAGAGAAUGAGAAAAUCUAAGAGGAAGAGAGAGAAAGUGGAAGAAAAAAAUAAAAAAAUAGCUGAUUUGGCCUUUAAAUAGGCCUUCAAAACGACGUCGUUUAGGAAAGUAGCAAAACGACGUCGUUUCGACCCUAGAAGAUCUGCCCGUCGACCCACAACCUGACCCGAGAUCCGCGCAUCUGAUCCGAUGACCCGUUCUCCCUUUACCUCUAUUGCUCCAAUUGAAUCGGCCCAGACUGGACCAAACAGGUUUCAAAUCGCUGAACCUGAACCAAUCGGAUCGAACCGCUGAACCGGCACAAACCCACAUUGACCGGACCGUUGAUCGGUCCAAUUCAGGUAAUUUUUUUUUAAAAAAAAUUUGAAUUAUAUAUAUAUAUUAUUAUAAAUUUUAUUAUUAAUAUUCAUGCAUAUUAAAAUGUUUAUAAUUUUUGUUGAAAUAAAUAAAAAUAAAUGAUAAAGUAUAUAAUAAAGUUUUUUUUUUAUAAUUUAGCUAAUUUUAGAAUAAACCUUCUAAAUUAAUAAAAAAUGUAAAGAAAGAAGAAAGUUUUUAUCCGAUGAUAAGAUUCAAAAGUAUUUCGAAUAGUGAUACCUACGAAAUCUUUCUGUGAUAAGAUUUUUUUUAAAUACUACUAGUGUAUUAGAGUAUUUAAAAAAAAAUUUUGAUACAAUAAAAAUUUCUCUUUUUCAAAAAACUAGUAAAAUAAAAUUAAUUUUUAUAAAAAGAACUAAAAUAAAGUGAUAAAAAAAUGAGAAAAAAAAAAUUUUAUCCAAUGAUGAAAUUCUAAAAAUAUUUCAAGUAGCGAUGCUUUACAAAAUCCUUAGGUAAGAAGAUUUUUUUAAAAUAUUACUAGUGUAUUAGAAUAUUUAUAGAAAAACUUUAAUAUAAUAAAAAAAAUUUUCUUCAAAUUUAAAUUAAAAAUAAAAAAUCAAAUAAAACAAUUAAUAAAAUUUUUUAAAAAGGAGAAUAAAAUAUGUGCAGCAACAUGGUAAUAUUUUGCAUUGCAUACAUGACAUAGUUUUUUUUACGAAAAGUAAAUUUGAGCCUCCAAAGAUGAGAUUUCAAGGUAUUCUAAGAAAUGAUGCCUAAAAAAUCUCUAGGUGAGAAAAAUGUUAUUCUAAUGUUACCAAUGUAUUGGAACAUUUUAAGAAUUAUUUUGAUAAAAUGAUUCUAAUUUAUUUUUCUCGAAUAAAAUUUGAGCACAAAAAAAUAAUUUCUAAUAAAUGAAAAAUCAAGCAAAUUAUUUAGAAAAUCAUUUUUCAAACACCGAAAAUAAGACUGUUUUUAUUAAAAUCAACGGAUAACACAUAAUUAAUUAGUACCGUUUUAAACGGGCGUUUGUAAAAGUGCUAAUCUUUCUCAAUGCGUAACUUACUCUCAAAUCCAGACUGUUUUAUAGACUAUAAAAUUAUCUAUUUAAUAAAUUUUAAUAAAUUUAAAUUUUUAUUAAAAUGACAUAUUUUAAUAAAUGGUUAAUUGUACUUAAUCAAAAAAAAUUGGUGAUGAUUUUUUUUUUUGUUUUUUUUCAAAUUCGUCAGGAGAAUAUAAAACCGUAACAACAUUAUUCAUUCACAUUCUGCUGUAAUUAAAGAAAUAUUUCUAGUUUCCUCGUUUGUACACAUUAGUGAGAAUUUUUUUAAAUCAAUAAAGAAAUACUAUCAUUCUUUAAAUUGAGGAGAGUUUCAAAUUUGUUUUUGCUUCUUAAUAAUUGUUGAAUUUGAAACUUGGACAACAAAACGGUGACCUGGGCUCCCUGUGUACCCUUUUAUCUCGGUUUCACAUUCUUUGUUUCUGCCUUUAGCUUACGGAUAAAUUUUUAAGUGAAAUUGGUAAAAAAAAUUUUAUUAAAAAUAAAUAAAUAAAAACUUUAAUAAAAAAUUUAAUCAAAUAAAUUAACAGAGUUUAAUAUAAAAAUUAACAAUAUAUAAAAUAUUAUAAAAAUAUUAUUUAUAAUUUAAAUUUGAUCUAUACUUAUUUAAUAAUAAAAAUUUUAUUAAUAUUUUUAUUAAAAAUAUCUAUUUAAUAAAUAUAUUAAAUUUUUUCAAAUUUUAUAUAUAAUGAGAUUUUUUAUUUUUAAUUUUAUUUUUAUUUUUUAAUAAAAAAUUUUACAAAUUUGACCUAGUCUUUUCCUUCGUUGACUCCUUUUUGAUGAUUUCCUGUGCUUUAUAUCAUUGGUCAAGGUGGAUGCAUUGCAUCACUACAAGACAAGAAAUUCUUGUUUCAAUUUCCUAUGACAAAACCCCUUAAGAGCUGUCUUUUGUUUCCUACUGAAAACAUUAUUUUCAUUUCUCAUUUUGUUUCAUUUCACAAAAGCUGUCUUUUGUCUUUAGCGUACAAUUGUCUAAAGAGCUUUGUAAGAAAGUUCUUCAUCAAUCUGGUAUACAUAGACAGGCGGGAGAUUGGCAUUUUGAACUUAAUUGGACCAAGAAGCGACCUAUUUCGUAUAGCUAGGAAUGCCGUUUUGUCACACUUGAAGCGAGAGGAACAACAGAUUGCAUGGAUAGCCGCCUACCUCAGUUUCAGCUACAUUAAUGCUUUGCAGAAAACAAUUAGAUGGAAGCUUCGUAGUUUAAGCAUUUUGCUCGAGAUCAAGUCAAUAUUGAUCUGUCACAGUUGGCACAUUGCACAGGACAUUUUUCUUUUUGGUAAUUCUUCCCCUGUAAAUAUCUUGUUUCUGUUUUACAGCAGAUCAUGAAAUCCACCCACCUCCCUUCUUUUGUAAAUCUGCCUAAUGAAAUAAGCCUGGAUUCAAAACUCAAGUGUCAAAGAGCGACGAUGGUAGAAGUAAAGUACGUUGUUUAGGAAUUCAUAUGAAUUUUCAUGGUUAAAACCAAUGGGAACGGUCUGAUGAAUUUUGCAGCUAGACUUAUUGACUGGUUUCUACCUUUGGUCCUGUUUGGAUUAAUGACAAUCAUUCAAUCAACCUUACUCAUUGUUAACCAAUUAAAAAGAAUGAAAAUGGAAUUUGCAAAUAGCCAAACUCCCACGUGAGGCCAUUACUCCAUUUCUUCACUUUUCUAAGAUAUUCUUGAUGUGUUUGGCUGGUCUACGGUUUCAAAGAAAGUACAGGAAUCCUACAAACUUUUCCCACAAUCCAUUUUCCUCCUAAGAGCACAACCAUACGAUAUAGUACAAUGUGCCUUCAGGCUCAGGGCCAAUAGCACCAAUGCUGGAUGCCAUACUGGGCAUCCUACUAACGUGGAGGCAAGUUUCAUGUCUCUGUACCAGUGCCUGGCACGGUUUUAUUAAAAGAUCUGAACAGAGAAACUUUACAAUAUCUAGAUCACACAUUGGAGAUAAAUAGUGUUAUGGUUUCUCCCAAUCAGAUGGUAAAUACAUUAUGAUACAGGAAAUUCAUCUACGCAGGAACGGCGUCAGGAAUUUUGCCAUUGUCUGAUGGUGCCAAGCUGUCGUAGUAUUCGACCAGCACUUUCCAGCCACCAGGGCACAUAAAUCCAUCAGGAGUUUUCUCUUUGUUCUUUGCAAGUGUCCGCAUCUGUAGAAUGGCAGCAAGCAUUUUUGAGAUAAACUUGUUUGAAAAUAACAACUAACAUGGAAAUCAAAAUGUUUCUUUCUCACUCCUGUUUACGGUUCUUUUUCUAACUAUUUAUUGUGAUUUUAAUGCUACUGGAUGUUAAAAUCUAGUCAACAGUGAUAAUAGGAAAAAGAAGAUACCUUGGUGCCUGAUAUGAAGAGGAAGUCUUGAGCCCUUGAGGGAUAAAGAAAGCCAUUUUACCUUGGGUCUUAUCAUACGCAGCAACCUGCAAUUGAAACCCAUGAAUAUGGAAUAGGGAUUCCAAAUUUUAUACCACAAGUAGUACCAUUGUACCAGAAAAUAGCAAUGAGACAGAAUGCCUGUUAUACCCUGAAAGGAAGGAUGUUCAGCCGCUCAAGUCCUGGAGCCAUGCUCAACACCUUUUUCCCAUGAUCGGCAUCAUACAGAUCUCUCUUCUCAACUGGAUGGCGCAUGCCAGCUGGGUCUCUUCCAACAAUGUAAAAAUUGGCCCCAGCAUUAAUCCGAGCCUUAGCAUGCCACUGCACUUCCUUUGGGCCAGCGUAGUGCAUAGGAGAUGGGAAUAUAGACACCACAGUUGUUUCAGGAUCAAGAACACCAUCCUCAAGGACCUGAUGAAACAUAUUCAUCAUUAAACUGUCAGGCAUUUGCAUGAAAAUUUACACAAUACAUAACCAUUCUCCUAUCAGCAACCGUUUUCAAGGGAUUUAUCUAUGGACCUCAAAUAAGCAAAGUAACAAGCUCCGCCAUGCAGAACCCAGGUUUUCAAUCAGUUUUCCCUUCACCAAAGAGAGGGUCCAAGAACAUAUGAAAGGAUCAUAAGAGACGGUUGAGAAUUUACAAGAUUUAAUGGCGAACUAAGGCAAAUGAGAUUCCUACUUUAUCUGCAACAUAUGCAAGGCUAAAAUUCAAAAAAAAAAAAAAAAAAGGGAGUGAGUUUGAUAUAGAAACUGCAGAACCAUUAAAAUUCAGGUUGCUGGGCUUUCAGGAGGUCAGCCCCCCUCCAGAUGGUAUAGCAAACAAAGCAACCCUACAUGGAAUUACAUGUCAAAAAGUUGAAAAGGUUGUACAAGAACCUUCUCAUGUUGUUUCAUUGGCCAACUAAACAUCAUCUGCCUUUGUGUAGCCUCCCAAGGGAUGAAGCAAAAUAUGGGGUUCUUGUAGCCUAUGUCAAGAAGCCAACGACGAGUAUCAGUCAUUAGCAAAGCAUGGCCAUUGUGAACAGGAUUCCUGAGCUGGAAAGCAAACACAGCAUCAGCAUUGCGCCUUUCAAACUUUUGAUGUAGUUCCACCGGUGACAGCCGAAAACGAUCAAGGCCAUCAUGGUACUUGAUUGGCUCUAUAACCUCCAAGUCACCUCCAAUUAGCCAAUUUCCAGCAUUUGUUAUUGUUUCUUCAACAAAUGGUAGGCCAGGGGCCGUAGUUCCCCAAGUCCUUGCAAUCCUUUCUUCCUUAGGGUGCUUGUAAAUCUCAAUGCUGAAACAAUCCAGUAAUAAAGCAAAGAACAAGACAAUAUAGUCAUUGAAUUAAACAAAAUAGACCUAUGAUUCAUGAACUACAAAAGAUUUCCAAGAUGAAUAAGUGGAAUCUCAAGCAACUUGUUUGAGUCCAAGAAAGUAUACGCUAAACAAACAAUUGUUUCCCAAGAAUUUUAAAAAUUGUUAUUGUCAACAAAAAAUCUUAAAAGGGCAUUUAGUUCGCGAAAUUUUAAAUUUCAAAAAAAAAUAUGAUCCCUAAAAAAUGUAAUUUCAGAGGAAGUGUGAAUUUUCAUGAUAUCUCAUUUUUAUAUUUUUAUGUUUGGUUAGGAGAAUAUGAAAUUAUUUAAUUAUAUAUUUUUACUUCAAUAUCUUUCACUAUAAAAUAGAUACAACAAUACAUUAAUUAUUGCGUUAAUUUCAUCAAAACAACACAAGAAACAUAGUAUUGGAGCGGUCAAUUAUAAAAAAAUAAUUAAUCACCAAUUAUUGCAUUAAUUUGUUCUAAAAAACGCAAUAAUUGAACAAAUAUAAUGAACAAUAACUGCGUUUAGUUUUAAAAUAAUGUAAUAAUUGAUAAACUUAUAAUAACUGCUCAUUAAAUCAAAAGCCAUCAAGUUAAACAGAUGAAAAAAAUUAAAUAUCAAAUAUUGUGUUUACGAUGAAAGAAACAUAGUAAUUGUCAUAUCCAUAAUAAUUGUUCAUUAAAUCAAAAGUUAUCAAAUCAUGCAAAAAAAAAAUGUUCAAAUAUUGCGAUAAAAAAAAUGCAAUAAUUAUCAUACCCAUAAUAAAUACUCAUUAAAUCAAAGUCAUCGAGUCAAACAUAAGUAAAUAAAUAAAUAAAUACCAAAUAUUACAUUUCUGUUAGUAAUUACCAUACCAAUAAUUAAUAUUAGUUAAAUAAAAAACCAUCAAGUCAAAUACUACAUUUGGUUAAAAAAAAACAUAAUAAAUAAUCAUAAUUAUUACGUUUUAAAGCUAUAAAUAUAAUAUUUAAGUCAAAACAUAAAAAAAGAGUACUCAAUUAAAUAAAAAUCUUAAAACAAAAAAAUCUACAAUUACAUAAUUUUUAUAUGUGAUUUUCAUGAGAGUAAAAUAAAAAGAAAAAAUUUUUUAUUAAAAUUAAAUGUAGGACAAAAAUCAUUUUCAUCCUGAAAUCUUUAAAAACCAGAGAGAGAAAUAAAUUUAUAAUUUCAAAAUUUUGUAUGCUGUUGAAAAUUUAAGAUUAACACAUGAAUCUGAUAUCUCCAACCAAACAUAAAAAUUUGAAUAUCGAUCAAUAACAUUUAAAAAAAAUAUAUCGAUUCUCCCAACUAAACACCGACCUAAGUUUAUUCAUUUUAAUACGAAAACUCAGUCUGAAAUCCAAUGUUGCUCUGACUUGAUGGUGAAUGUCAUCGACAAGUGCGUGUCACAUGAAAGCGGAUGAAAGUGAUCUCUCAUAUAUCAAAUUUAAGAAAAAUUCAUAUUGGGGCAUUUAGUAAAAGCACAAAAAAAUUUCGAUACAAUAAAAAUUUCUCUUUUUCUAAAAACUAGUAUAAUAAAAUUAAUAUUUAUAAAAAGAACUAAAAUAAAGUGAUAAAAAAUGAGAAAAAAAUUUAUCCAAUGAUGGAAUUCUAAAAAUAUUUCAAGUAGUGAUGCUUUACAAAAUCCUUAGGUAAGAAGAUUUUUUUAAAAUAUUACUAGUGUAUUAGAAUAUUUAUAGAAAAACUUUAAUAUAAUAAAAAAAAUUUUCUUCAAAUUUAAAUUAAAAAUAAAAAAUCAAAUAAAACAAUUAAUAAAAUUUUUUAAAAAGGAGAAUAAAAUAUGUGCAGCAACAUGGUAAUAUUUUGCAUUGCAUACAUGACAUAGUUUUUUUUACGAAAAGUAAAUUUGAGCCUCCAAAGAUGAGAUUCUAAGGUAUUCUAAGAAAUGAUGCCUAAGAAAUCUCUAAGUGAGAAAAAUGUUAUUCUAAUGUUACCAACGUAUUGAAACAUUUUAAGAAUUAUUUUGAUAAAAUGAUUCUAAUUUAUUUUUCUCAAAUAAAAUUUGAGCACAAAAAAAUAAUUUCUAAUAAAUGAAAAAUCAAGCAAAUUAUUUAGAAAAUCAUUUUUCAAACACUGAAAAUAAGACUGUUUUUAUUAAAAUCAACGGAUAACACAUAAUUAAUUAGUACCGUUUUAAACGAACGUUUGUAAAGGUGCUAAUCCUUCUCCACGCGUAACUUACUCUCGAAUCCAAACUAUUUCGUAGAUCAUAAAAUUAUCUAUUUAAUAAAUUUUAAUAAAUUUAAAAUUUUGUUAAAAUGAUGUAUUUUAAUAGAUGAUCAAUUAUACUUAGUCAAAAAAAAUUGAUGAUGACUCAUUUUUUUUAUUAUUUUUCAAAUUCGUCAGAGGAAUACAAAACCGUAACGACAUUAUUCAUUCAGAUUCUGCUGUAAUUAAAGAAAUAUUUCUAGUUUCCUCGUUUGUACACAUUAGUGAGAAUUUUUUUACAUCAAUAAAGAAAUACUAUCAUUCUUUAAAUUGAGGACAGUUUCAAAUUUGUUUUUGCUUCUUAAUAAUUGUUGAAUUUGAAACUUGGACAACAAAACGGUGACCUGGGCUCCCUGUGUUCCCUUUUAUCUCGGUUUCACAUUCUUUGUUUCUGCUUUUAGCUUACGGAUAAAUCUUUAAGUGAAAUUGGUAAAAAUUAUUUUAUUAAAAAUAAAUAAAUAAAAACUUUAAUAAAAAAUUCAAUCAAAUAAAUUAGUAGAGUUUCAAGUAAAAAUUAACAAUAUAUAAAAAUAUUAUAAAAAUAUUAUUUAUAAUUUAAAUUUAAUCGAUAUUUAUUCAAUAAUAAAAUUUUAUUAAUAUUUUUAUUAAAAUAUCUAUUUAAUAAAUAUAUUAAAAAUUUUUCAAAUUUAUAUAUAAUGAGAUUUUUUAUUUUUAUUUUAAUUUAUUUUUUAAUAAAAAUUUUACAAAUUUGACCUGGUCUUUUCCUUCGUUGACUCCCUUUGAUAAUUUCCUGUGCUUUAUAUCAUUGGUCAAGGUGGAUGCAUUGCAUCACUACAAGACAAGAAAUUCUUGUUUCAAUUUCCUAUGACAAAACCCCUUAGAGUUGUCUUUUGUUUCCUACUGAAAACAUUAUUUUCAUUUCUCAUUUUGUUUCAUUUCACAAAAGCUGUCUUUUGUCUUUAGCGUACAAUUGUCUAAAGAGCUUUGUAAGAAAGUUUUUCAUCAAUCUGGUAUACAUAGACAGGCGGGAGAUUGGCAUUUUGAACUUAAUUGGACCAAGAAGCGACCUAUUUCGUAUAGCUAGGAAUGCAACGAUUUGUCACACUUGAAGCGAGAGGAACAACAGAUUGCAUGGAUAGCCGCCUACCUCAGUUUCAGCUACAUUAAUGCUUUGCAGAAAACAAUUAGAUGGAAGCUUCGUAGUUUAAGCAUAUUGCUCGAGAUCAAGUCAAUAUUGAUCUGUCACAGUUGGCACAUUGCACAGGACAUUUUUCUUUUUGGUAAUUCUUCCCCUGUAAAUAUCUUGUUUCUGUUUUACAGCAGCUCAUGAAAUCCACCCACCUCCCUUCUUUUGUAAAUCUGCCUAAUGAAAUAAGCCUGGAUUCAAAACUCAAGUGUCAAAGAGCGACGAUGGUAGAAGUAAAGUACGUUGUUUAGGAAUUCAUAUGAAUUUUCAUGGUUAAAACCAAUGGGAACGGUCUGAUGAAUUUUGCAGCUAGACUGAUUGACUGGUUUCUACCUUUGGUCCUUUUUGGAUUAAUGACAAUCAUUCAAUCAUGAUUGACUGGUUUCUACCUUUGGUCCCUUUUGGAUUAAUGACAAUCAUUCAAUCAACCUUACUCAUUGUUAACCAAUUAAAAAGAAUGAAAAUGGAAUUUGCAAAUAGCCAAACUCCCACGUGAUGCCAUUACUCCAUUUCUUCACUUUUCUAAGAUAUUCUUGAUGUGUUUGGCUGGUCUACGGUUUCAAAGAAAGUACAGGAAUCCUACAAACUUUUCCCACAAUCCAUUUUCCUCCUAAGAGCACAACCAUACGAUAUAGUACAAUGUGCCUUCAGGCUCAGGGCCAAUAGCACCAAUGCUGGAUGCCAUACUGGGCAUCCUACUAACGUGGAGGCAAGUUUCAUGUCUCUGUACCAGUGCCUCGCACGGUUUUAUUAAAAGAUCUGAACAGAGAAACUUUACAAUAUCUAGAUCACACAUUGGAGAUAAAUAGUGUUAUGGUUUCUCCCAAUCAGAUGGUAAAUACAUUAUGAUACAGGAAAUUCAUCUACGAAGGAACAGCGUCAGGAAUUUUGCCAUUGUCUGAUGGUGUCAAGCUGUCGUAGUAUUCGACCAGCACUUUCCAGCCAGCAGGGCACAUAAAUCCAUCAGGAGUGUUCUCUUUGUUCUUUGCAAGUGUCCGCAUCUGUAGAAUGGCAGCAAGCAUUUUUGAGAUAAACUUGUUUGAAAAUAACAACUAACAUGGAAAUCAAAAUGUUUCUUUCUCACUCCUGUUUACGGUUCUUUUUCUAACUAUUUAUUGUGAUUUUUAUUCUACUGGAUAUUAAAAUCUAGUCAACAGUGAUAAUAGGAAAAAGAAGAUACCUUGGUGCCUGAUAUGAAGAGGAAGUCUUGAGCCCUUGAGGGAUAAAAGAAAGCCAUUUUACCUUGGGUCUUAUCAUACGCAGCAACCUGCAAUUGAAACCCAUGAAUAUGGAAUAGGGAUUCCAAAUUUUAUACCACAAGUAGUACCAUUGUACCAGAAAAUAGCAAUGAGACAGAAUGCCUGUUAUACCCUGAAAGGAAGGAUGUUCAGCCGCUCAAGUCCUGGAGCCAUGCUCAACACCUUUUUCCCAUGAUCGGCAUCAUACAGAUCUCUCUUCUCAACUGGAUGGCCCAUGCCAGCUGGGUCUCUACCAACAAUGUAAAAAUUGGCCCCAGCAUUAAUCCGAGCCUUAGCAUGCCACUGCACUUCCUUUGGGCCAGCGUAGUGCAUAGGAGAUGGGAAUAUAGACACCACAGUUGUUUCAGGAUCAAGAACACCAUCCUCAAGGACCUGAUGAAACAUAUUCAUCAUUAAACUGUCAGGCAUUUGCAUGAAAAUUUACACAAUAUAUAACCAUUCUCCUAUCAGCAACCGUUUUCAAGGGAUUUAUCUAUGGACCUCAAAUAAGCAAAGUAACAAGCUCCGCCAUGCAGAACCCAGGUUUCACUCAGUUUUCCCUUCACCAAAGAGAGGGUCCAAGAACAUAUGAAAGGAUCAUAAGAGACGGUUGAGAAUUUACAAGAUUUAAUGGCGAACUAAUGCAAAUGAGAUUCCUACUUUAUCUGCAACAUAUGCAAGGCUAAAAUGAAAAAAAAAAAAAAAAAAAAAAAAAAAAGGAGUGAGUUUGAUAUAGAAACUGCAGAACCAUUAAAAUUCAGGUUGCCGGGCUUUCAGGAGGUCAGCCCCCCUCCAGAUGGUAUAGCAAACAAAGCAACCCUACAUGGAAUUAGAUGUCAAAAAGUUGAAAAGGUUGUACAAGAACCUUCUCAUGUUGUUUCAUUCGCCAACUAAACAUCAUCUGCCUUUGUGUAGCCUGCCAAAGGAUGAAGCAAAAUAUGGGGUUCUUGUAGCCUAUGUCAAGAAGCCGACGACGAGUAUCAGUCAUUAGCAAAGCAUGGCCAUUGUGAACAGGAUUCCUGAGCUGGAAAGCAAACACAGCAUCAGCAUUGCGCCUUUCAAACUUUUGAUGUAGUUCCACCGGUGACAGCCGAAAACGAUCAAGGCCAUCAUGGUACUUGAUUGGCUCUAUAACCUCCAAGUCACCUCCAAUUAGCCAAUUUCCAGCAUUUGUUAUUGUUUCUUCAACAAAUGGUAGGCCAGGGGCCGUAGUUCCCCAAGUCCUUGCAAUCCUUUCUUCCUUAGGGUGCUUGUAAAUCUCAAUGCUGAAACAAUCCAGUAAUAAAGCAAAGAACAAGACAAUAUAGUCAUUGAAUUAAACAAAAAUAGACCUAUGAUUCAUGAACUACAAAAGAUUUCCAAGAUGAAUAAGUGGAAUCUCAAGCAACUUGUUUGAGUCCAAGAAAGUAUACGUUAAACAAACAGUUGUUUCCCAAGAAUUUUAAAAUUUGUUAUUGUCAACAAAAAAUCUUAAAAGUGCGUUUAGUUCGCGAAAUUUUAAAUUCCGAAAUAAAAUAUGAUCCCCCAAAAAAUGUAAUUUUAGAGGAAGUGUGAGUUUUCAUGACAUCUCAUUUUUUUAUUUUUAUGUUUGGUUAGGAGAAUAUGAAAUUAUUUAAUUAUGUAUUUUUACUUCAAUAUCUUUCACUAUAUAAUAGAUACAACAAUACAUUAAUUAUUGCAUUAAUUUCAUCAAAACAACACAAGAAACAUAGUAUUGGAGCGGUCAAUUAUAAAAAAAUAAUUAAUCAUCAAUUAUCGUAUUAAUUUGUUCUAAAAAAUGCAAGAAACGCAAUAAUUGAACAAAUAUAAUGAACAAUAACUACGUUUAGCUUUCAAAAAAUGCAAUAAUUGAAAAACUUAUAAUAAUUGCUCAUUAAAUCAAAAGCCAUCAAGUCAAACAGAUGAAAAAAUUAAAUAUCAAAUAAUGUGUUUACGUUGAAAGAAACGUAGUAAUUGUCAUAUCCAUAAUAAAUGCUCAUUAAAUCAAAAGUUAUCAAAUCAUGCAAAAAAAAAAUGUCAAAUAUUGCGAUAAAAAAAAUGCAAUAAUUAUCAUACCCAUAAUAAAUACUCAUUAAAUCAAAAGUCAUCAAGUCAAACAUAAGUAAAUAAAUAAAUAAAUACCAAAUAUUACAUUUCCGUUAGUAAUUGCCAUACCAAUAAUUAAUACUAGUUAAAUAAAAAACCAUCCAGUCAAAUACUACAUUUUGGUUAAAAAAAAACAUAAUAAAUAAUCAUAAUUAUUACGUUUUAAAGCCUAUAAAUAUAAUAUUUAAGUCAAAAAACAUAAAAAAAAGAGUACUCAAUUAAAUAAAAAUCUUAAAACAAAAACAAUCUACAAUUACAUAAUUUUUAUAUGUUGAUUUUCAUGAGAGUAAAAUAGAAAGAAAAAAUUUUUUAUUAAAAUUAAAUGUAGGACAAAAAUCAUUUUCAUCCUGAAAUCUUUAAAAACCAGAGAUAGAAAUGAAUUUAUAAUUUCAAAAUUUUGUAUGCUGUUGAAAAUUUAAGAUUAACACAUGAAUCUCAUAUCUCCAACCAAACAUAAAAAUUUGAAUAUCGAUCAAUAACAUUUAAAAAAAAUAUAUAAGAUUCUCCCAACUAAACACCGACCUAAGUUUAUUCAUUUUAAUACGAAAACUCAGUCUGAAAUCCAAUGUUGCUCUGACUUGAUGGUGAAUGUCAUAGACAAGUACGUGUCACAUGAAAGCGGAUGAAAGUGAUCUCUCAAUUGUUUAUAUAUCAGAUUUAAGAAAAAUUCAUAUUGGGCAUUUAGUAAAAGCACAAAAAAAAAAAAAAAACCAACUGCGAUAGAACAGGAACCUCAAACUACCUUAAAUACGGAUUGAAUCAUUUCGUUUCGUUUCGUUUUGCAUCUUUUCUUUCUCUUUUGUUACCCUACCUCGCCUUUAAUCAAUGUUAACCUUCAUGUUUCUCAAGAAUGCAAUACAAUUUAACCAAAAAGAAAAAAGAAACCUUCAAGCAUAAAUUUGAAAUGUAAUAACUUCAAGCUUCAACAUUAUAAAAUCAAUCUUGUUUUAUUAAAAUGUUAAAGAAUUACUCCAACAAAAAUAUAUGUGUUCACUUAAACAGCAAAGUAAAAUGGGAAACUACACCAAAAAUUUGAAGGAAAUGAAUAAAGCAUAGUUACCAUUACAUAAUUACUAUAUUAUUAUGAGUUUAGCAACUUACUUGGUGAGAAUUUUGACGGGAUUAUCAUCCGAGUCAUCGAGAGCAACUCUAUUGGAUUCACCGACCUUUUCCUUUUGAGAAUCAUCGAUAGUCAAGACAAUCGACACUGACAUAUUAACGAUAAAAAUAUUAUCGAUUCGAAGCGGCGAUAUUUACUUGUAAAAUUUAAAUUUGAAUUUUGUUACUAACAAUUUUUUUUUUAUAAACAACAUAAAAAUCUAAUAUAAGUUACUUUGUGAAACCUGCAGCCUACUUUAGACUGAAAAGCUUUCUCUUAUCCUGAACUUUCUUAAACAAAAAAAUAAUUUUACAGGGAUUUUGAUGAAUUUAACUCUACUGUUAGUUAUUGUUUUUGAUGGGUUUGAGUUUCCACCCCUUUCUGGGUUCUCUUGGUCCCAAGAGUCCAACUGAAUUACAGCAUCUUUGCUAUGCUUUGUUUUGCUGGGUUUAAUUAAACAUCUGACCUUUUUGAGGUAUAGCCCCAAUUUUAUUGGGUAAAGACUAUGAACAAACAUCAGAUAGCCACGUAGCCCAGCGUCCUUCAACCUGAAUUUUUAGCAAAUUAUUAUCUUACCUUCCAAUUUCCGACUUUCGUCCUGAAAGGGUAAUUGUGAAUCCAAGUUUGUAAAUGUUAGUCUUAAAAAACUUUGUAAAUAUUAAUGCAUUAUUUUUAAUAAAAACUCUAUGAAAUUAUGUAUUAAAUAUAAAAUUUUUGAUACAAUAAUAUUUAAAUUAUAUUUAAUUAAAGACCGAUAAUCAGAUUUUUUUAUUAAAAAAAUAUUUUAUUCAUCAUAAUUGAAAUUUAAAAUUUCUACUAAUAAAAUGAAAAAAAAAUUACAUAUAUAACUAAAUAAAAUAUAUUGUUAACAUAAUAAAUUAUAUAAAAAAUUAAAAAACAAAACUUAUGAAAUUUAAAAUUUCAUUUACGGUAUACUGGAUUCGUUUCCCACUAGAUUUGACUGCGUUUCCGUGACUUUGCAUCCUAUUUGACCGAUGAAAAAAAUAAACAUUGUCGUUAACCAAGAAUCAAAAAAAAAAAAAGGCACACUUUCGCCGCGUUUUGUCUGAGGUGGCAUCGUAUUCUGUCCGAGAAAAAUAGUUCAAAGAGGACAAGUCAUUUGUACGAUCUCUCUCCCUAUUAAAUUUGUUAAACCAAAACUAACAAGAAUUCUCCUUCUAAAAAUGGAACUGAGUUAGACGCACGAGCUUAAUUAAAUUGGUUCUUAAAUUUAUUUUUUUUAAAUGGUUUUUAAAUUUUAAAAAUUGUCAUUUUUUAAAAUUUUUAUAUUACAGUCUUCUAUAUAAAAAGAAAAUUAAAUAAAACUUUUAAGUAAAGAUUAUGAAAUUUUUUAAUAAAAAUAAAUAAAUUUAUGAAAUUUUUUAAUAAAAAUAAAUAAAUAAAAUUCAAAUCGACAAAAAAAAAUUAUUAUUAUAUUAGUCAAGUUUACAAAUUUUUAAAAAAUUUUAAAUUUUUGUUUAUUCUUUAAAUAUUUAUUUUUAUUAAAAAUUUUGAUAAAAUUUUAAUGAUUAGAUAAGUACUAAUCAAUUUAAAAUUUUUAAUUUUUAAUUUUUUUUUACUUAUUAUUGAUAUUUUCAAUCGUGAAAUAUACACAAAUUAAGAUACAAUUGAACCAAAUAUUGAAUUUAUUAAAUUUACAUAUAAAAAGUACAGAAUUUCCUUCUUUCUACUUCUUUACGAGAAGGAAAAGAGAUUUGAACUUUGAGUCUUAACUCUCUUAAAAAUAUAUAUGAAUCAAGAAAUGUGCUCUUAGAAUAGCCGUGUAGAAAGUAAAAAAAAAUGAAAAUGAAAAACAAUAUCAAGAAAAUUGUACAUAGAAAAUAAAAAAAUAUUUCAAAUUUAAAAAAUAAAAAUCUUUACGAGGUAUCAUCUAAUUUAGUCACAAUUUAUACUGACUAAUAUAAUAUUUAGUGGAGUUGGGGUAUACUUUCGCUUAUCAACUUUAUUUAUGAAUCAUUGAGAAAAAAAAUUACAAAUCCUCUUUUUUUUAAUCUUUUUAUACAAAAAUUCCAAUAUAAAAUUUUAUCAACAUCAUUCACACAAAAACUUUAAUUUGAGCUUGUCUCCUCAUUUUCCUAAUUCCUUGCUUUCAUCUAGAUUUGUUCACAUGUUAAACUUUAAAUAAGGAGUUUUGAAUUCAAGUUUAUCUUGAAAUGUUAAAUUAUUAAUAAAUUUUUAUUUAAUUUUAAUUUUAAAAUAUUUUAAUAGUUUUUAUGAAAAUGUUGGAUUUCUUAAAUUCGAUGGACCUAUCAAGCUAGGUUUUAAAUUAUUAAUAAAUUUUUAUUUAAUUUUAAUUUAAAAAUAUUUUAAUAAUUUUUAUGAAAAUUUUGGAUUUCUUAAAUUCGAUGGACCAAUCAAGCUAGGUUUUAGAUAAAAUUUCAAAAGAUAUAAUUGGACUCAUAAACAAUCACGCUGAUUUUAGAUAAAAUUUUUAGAAGAUUGAUCUAAUCCAACUCAUAUACACUUCUAUUUCUAUUCAUUUUCAUAUUUAAUUUCCUUCCUAAUAACAAAUAACGUGUUUUUUUGCUAUUAUUUUGUAACUUCGAAGUUCAAAAAGCCAACAUCUUUCCUUACCUCUCAAGAAUAGAAUAAUUAUAUGAAUAAAGAUAAGCAAAUCGAGUAAUCAAUAUUAAAAGAAACGAAUAUUAUAUUAUUCAAAAAAAAAAAAAGAAUCGCUUUUUGUUGAAAAGAUUCAAAAGAAAAGACUAUUAUACAAUUCAAAAGAAAAGGAAAAGGAAAAAUAAAUGACGAAUCGAAUAUUGUUGCACCGAAUUUCCAAAGCAUUUGAUGAGGUUUUUCCUUGCGACUGCGAAUCUAUGCUCAGCUUUAAUUUCUGUUAUGGAAAUUUCCUAAAAGCGACUUUCCUGCAUUUGUAAAUUUUAUGGUAUAUACCGAAUUAAUGUAAAUGAUUAAGGUUUAGAAUUUGAAAGUAAAAUACUUAUAUUUGAAUUUUUAUGAAUUUUUUAUAAAUGUUUGGUAAAUUCAAAAAAUUUUAAAAAUAUAUAUAAAAAAUUCGUAAAUUUUUUUAUAGGUUGAUGACUUAUUCUGAUCUUAAAAACAAGAGAACUUCCUCUGUUCUUAAAUUUUUUUCGAUCAAAAAAAAUUAUCUAUAAACCUAAUUAAAUUAUUAAAAGUAAAAUCCUUCUUAAGAGGUUUUCUUGUGACAGCGAAUCUGUGCUUAGCUUUAACUUUUGUAAUGGAAACUUUGUAAAAGUGACUUUUCUUCAUUUGUAAAUUUUAUUGUUACACGAAAUAAAGGUUGGCAGUGAUUUAAGAUCUGCAUGUAAAGGUACCUUUGGGUUGACAAUCUAUAAAUCUUAAAAUCCUAAAAAAAAUCCUUAAGAGUUGGCGACAAAAAAAAAAAAACUGUCGGUAUAUCUAAUUAAAUUAUUAAAAGUAAUUUAAUAAUCCUUCUUAUCAGUUCGUCGCACCAAACGCGGUGUGGACUUUAUUAAGAAAAUGUUAACAACAAAUUACACCUAUCUUAAGCCACACACCACUAAUUAUUUCUAUAAUGAUUUAUUAGUUGUUAUUUUUAUUUGUUUAAUAUUUUUAUUUAUAUUAAAAAUUAUUUGUUCAUAAUUUUAAAUUUUUUAUCGAUACAUGUAAUUGUAUAAAAAUUGCUUUUUUAUAAAAUUUAAAAAAUGUUUCUUGUGAGUUUGUAACUAUUGGCAUUGGUUAAAAAUGAUAUUUAAGAAAAAAAAUUGUAAUUAAUACAUUAUUUUUUUUAUUAAACUUAGCGAGAAUAGUGGAUUAAAUUUAAUUUUUAAACAAUAUUUUAAUUAUCCUUAAAUGGUUCCUAUAGGCGAACCCAUAAAAUUUUCAACUACUAAUUAAUUGGGUAAUAAAUAAUGAAAUUUGAUUAAUUAGUUUAAUCCUUGAAUGUUAGCAGCACACUGUUUCCGUACGGUCUAAUUUUCCUUUUUUUUUUAAAAAAAAAAGAGAUAUUUAGGGUAAUUGCAAAUUGGAAAGAGAAUUCUUUUUAUCUUUUAAAAAGGGAUAACAUGUUUAUGGAAAAUCAAUUUUUUAUUUGAAUGAGUAUAUGAAUGGGUAUUAUAUUAUAAGUAUGAAAAUAAGUAUUAUUUUAAAUUUUUAUUAGAUAAAUAGAUAAUAGUAAUAUAACAUCCGUGUUAUAAUUGUAUUAUAUAUAUUUAUAUAUAUCUAAUAAAUAAAUUUUUAUUAAAUAAUAUAAAUUAUUAUUUUAAAUUAAUUAAAUUAAUAUAUUUUAUUAAAGAAAUAUAUAUUAAUAUAUAUUUAUAAAAAAUUAUUUAAAUAUAUAAGAUAAAUUUUUAAAAAAAUUUAUUUUUAUUUUUUUUAAAAUUUAUGAGUACGGGAUUCUCUAUAUUAUUAAAUAUCUAUAAAAUAAAAAUAAAUUUAAAUUUAAAAUAUUUAUUAAAUAUGAAUAUGAAAAUAAAUAUAAUAUAAAUUUUGAAAAUGGAAAUGAAAAAUUUGCAGAGUUAAUAUCGUGUUGCGGUGGAAAUCCUUAAUAACAAGAUAAGACUUUUUAUUGCUUAUGAACGAGGAAUAGCCUGAGAUGUUUGACGAUUGUCCUCUUGGCCGCGUUUUGCUUUGGCAUUAACUGAUUGCGAACAAGGAAAAGAAAUAAUAUUUUCUAAAGCAACUUCGACGAAAGGGGUAGUGUUUUUAUUUGACUUCUCUCGUUCGAGUCUAAGGAAAUCAGAAAACGAAAACAGCAGCAAAAAUCCAAUUGUCAAAGUGACUCCCUAUCACAACUUUCUUCCAAUCGAAGCAAAUCAUUAUGAAAAGCUUAAAGGUGGUGGAUGUCUCAGAAGUAGCAUAUAAAUAUACCUGCAUGUCUCUCUUCUUCCAUAUAUUGGUCAUCAUCAAGCAAAAUCAAACUAUCAGCUAAGUUUUCUGCUUCAUGAAAGUUGAUUGUUUGCCAUAAUCUUUAUAAACCAAAUAGUAGUAAACAUUUUCCUUUCAUUUCUUUUUCUUUUCUUGCACAAAACAUCGUAAUCUGAUAAUAAAAAAAAUACAGCGUAAGAUUUCUUUCCUUUAGCCAAUAUCUAUCAUAUAGUUUUUGCGUAUAUACUCUCUUUUUUUUUUUAUUCGUUUUGUUUUUAAAUUAUGACUACCAUUGUUCAUGCAAGCAUGCUUUGCAUAGAAUGUAUACUCGAAGUUCCAGCUAACCUAUGCAAGCCCAAAAAGAAGUGGCACACCAUAUUCACUACCAUCUAUUGUUCUAGAACAUUUUUAUCCCUUGUUAUCAAGUCUCCAACACCCAAAGAAAAAACCAAGGCUAUUCCUCGCUCAUCAUCUCGUGUUUCACUCACUGUUAUACCGGAAAACAGUCCUUUCCAAAUUGAUCAAACAACUCUCAUUGAUCUAGUGAAAGAGAAAAAAAUCGAGAAGCUGAAGAAACAUGAUGGGGUUGAUGGUGUGGCUUCUGCCCUUGGCACCGACACCGAGGUUGGCAUUUCUGGCAACACUGAAGACAUUGCAAGCCGACUUGAGGCAUUCGGUUCCAACACGUAUAAGAAACCGCCAACGAAGACCAUUUUACAUUUCGUGAUUGAAGCAUUUAAGGACCUUACUAUAAUGAUUCUUUUAGGCUGUGCAGCUCUUUCACUUGGCUUUGGAAUCAAAGAACACGGGCCUAAAGAAGGGUGGUACGACGGUGGAAGCAUAUUCGUAGCUGUGUUUCUUGUCAUUGCUGUUUCUGCCAUAAGUAACUAUAGGCAGAACAGACAAUUUGACAAGUUAUCAAAAGUCAGCAACAAUAUUCAGAUUGAUGUUGUACGAGGAGGUCGGCGCCAACAAAUUUCAAUAUUUGAUAUCGUUGUUGGAGACAUUGUGUGCCUAAAAAUUGGAGACCAAGUUCCUGCUGAUGGAUUGUUCUUAGAUGGACAUUCUUUGCAUGUAGAUGAAUCAAGCAUGACCGGGGAAAGUGACCAUGUUGAGGUAAAUCGCUGCCAAAAUCCUUUCUUGUUUUCAGGGACCAAGGUGGCUGAUGGGUACGCUAGGAUGCUUGUCACGUCUGUUGGCAUGAAUACAACAUGGGGUCAAAUGAUGAGCCAGAUCAGCCGUGACACUAAUGAACAGACACCCUUACAAGCUCGUUUAAACAAGCUGACCUCAUCAAUUGGUAAGGUCGGCUUAGCAGUUGCUUUCCUGGUUCUUGUCGUUUUGUUGGUUCGCUACUUCACAGGCAAUACAACAGAUGAGAAUGGAAACCGGGAGUUCAAUAGAGGCAAGACAAAGGCUGAUGAUGUAAUAAAUGCUGUGGUGGGAAUCGUAGCUGCUGCUGUUACCAUCGUUGUAGUUGCAAUUCCAGAAGGAUUGCCAUUAGCUGUCACACUGACACUGGCUUAUUCGAUGAAGAGAAUGAUGGCAGAUCAAGCAAUGGUGAGAAAGCUCUCUGCCUGUGAGACAAUGGGCUCAGCCACCACAAUUUGUACUGACAAAACAGGUACUCUCACACUCAACCGAAUGAAGGUGACAAAAUUUUGGCUUGGCCAAGAAUCUAUGGAAGAGGGUGCUUCUUCAAUUUCUCCAUUUGUUGUUGACUUGAUCCAUCAGGGAGUUGCUUUAAAUACCACUGGUAGUGUUUACAGAGCUUCUUCAGGAACAGAAUUUGAAUUCUCAGGCAGUCCUACAGAAAAGGCAAUCCUUUCAUGGGCUGUCCUGGAACUGAAGUUGGAUAUGGAGAAGAUGAAGAAGAGUUGUGAAAUUCGCCAAGUUGAAGCCUUCAAUUCUCAGAAAAAAAGAAGUGGGGUUUUGAUUGGAAGAAAGAUGAUGGCACUGGCCAUGUUCACUGGAAAGGAGCCGCUGAGAUGAUUCUAGCAAUGUGCUCAAGCUACUAUGAUGCUUCUGGAAUGGUGAAAGAUCUCAACAAUAAGGAAAGGAUUAAAUUUGAGCAAAUUAUUCAAGGCAUGGCUGCGAGCAGCCUCAGGUGCAUUGCUUUUGCCCAUAAACAAGUUCCAAAAGAAGAGUGUGAAAAUCUAAAAGAGCAGAAAAAGCUUAAAGGAGACAGCUUGGCCCUGUUAGGACUGGUGGGUAUAAAGGAUCCAUGCAGACCUGGAGUGAAGAAGGCUGUAGAAGAUGCCAAUAUGCAGGAGUAAACAUCAAAAUGAUCACUGGGGACAAUGUUUUCACUGCAAGAGCCAUAGCUACUGAAUGUGGGAUUCUCAGGUGUGGUGAGGAAAUUUCAAGUGAUGCGGUGGUAGAAGGUGAGGAAUUCAGGAAUUAUACACCACAGGAGAGGAUGGAGAAAGUAGAAAAAAUCCGAGUUAUGGCAAGGUCCUCUCCUUUCGAUAAACUUCUCAUGGUACAGUGCUUGAAACAGAAAGGGCAUGUAGUUGCAGUCACUGGUGAUGGCACAAAUGACGCACCAGCACUCAAGGAAGCAGAUAUCGGACUAUCCAUGGGAAUUCAGGGAACCGAAGUGGCGAAAGAGAGUUCAGAUAUUGUCAUCUUGGAUGACAAUUUCGCUUCUGUGGCCACAGUCUUGAGGUGGGGAAGAUGUGUCUACACGAAUAUCCAGAAGUUCAUUCAAUUCCAGCUUACUGUUAAUGUUGCUGCACUUUGUAUUAACUUCGUAGCCGCAGUUUCAGCAGGUGAAGUCCCUCUAACAGCAGUCCAGUUAUUGUGGGUGAACUUGAUCAUGGACACAUUGGGUGCUCUGGCUCUUGCUACUGAGCGACCUACGAGGGAGUUGAUGGAGAAACCACCCGUGGGUCGAACAGAGCCACUGAUCACAAACAUCAUGUGGAGGAACCUACUAGCUCAAGCUUUAUACCAGAUAGCAGUGCUUCUUACCCUGCAAUUCAGCGGUGAAUCAAUCUUUGGCGUAACAGAGAAGGUCAAUGAUACCUUGAUCUUCAAUACUUUUGUUCUGUGCCAAGUCUUCAACGAAUUUAACGCAAGGAAGCUAGAAAAGAAGAACGUAUUUGAGGGGAUACACA